UACGGGGGGGUAAGGCGUUGUUCGGAAUUACUGGGCGUAAAGAGCGCGCAGGCGGUCGUUCAAGUCGCGUGUGAAAGCCCCCGGCUCAACUGGGGAGGGUCACGCGAUACUGAUCGACUCGAAGGCAGGAGAGGGUAGUGGAAUUCCCGGUGUAGUGGUGAAAUGCGUAGAUAUCGGGAGGAACACCAGUGGCGAAGGCGGCUACCUGGCCCACUCUUGACGCUGAGGCGCGAAAGCUAGGGGAGCAAACGGG
rnacentral:rRNA from 1 species